rnacentral:misc_RNA from 1 species
GAUGAAGAACGUAGCGAAAUGCGAUAAGUAAUGUGAAUUGCAGAAUUCAGUGAAUCAUCGAAUCUUUGAACGCACAUUGCGCCCGCCAGUAUUCUGGCGGGUAUGCCUGUUCGAGCGUCAUUUCAACCAUCAAGCCCCCGGCUUGUGUUGGGGACCUGCGGCUGCCGCAGGCCCUGAAAACCAGUGGCGGGCUCGCUGUCACACCGAGCGUAGUAGAUUUUCAUCUCGCUCAGGGCGUGCUGCGGGUUCCGGCCGUAAAAAGCCUUAUUUACCCAAGGUUGACCUCGGAUCAGGUAGGAAGACCCGCUGAACUUAAGCAUAUCAAUAAGCGGAGGA